CCUACGGGUGGCAGCAGUGGGGAAUAUUGCACAAUGGGGGAAACCCUGAUGCAGCGACGCCGCGUGAGUGAAGAAGUAUCUCGGUACGUAAAGCUCUAUCAGUAGGGAAGAAAAUGACGGUACCUGACUAAGAAGCCCCGGCUAACUCCGUGCCAGCAGCCGCGGUAAUACGGAGGGGGCAAGCGUUAUCCGGAUUUACUGGGUGUAAAGGGAGCGUAGACGGCAGGACAAGUCAGGAGUGAAAUCCCCAGGCUUAACCCCGGAACUGCGUUUGAAACUGUGCGGCUGGAGUGAAGGAGGGGUAGGCGGAAUGCAUGGUGUAGCGGUGAAAUGCGUAGAGAUGAGGAGGAACACCGAUGGCGAAGGCGGCUUACUAAACUAUAACUGACGUUGAGGCACGAAAGCGUGGGGAGCAAACAGGAUUAGAUACCCUUGUAGUC
rnacentral:rRNA from 1 species